ensembl:snoRNA
GGUGUUGCAGUACCUGCACCCAGCAUCCUUCUGUGGGAUGUUCAAAAAGCAGUGCUACACCAGUGCAGCAUUUGGCAUCCUUGGUUUUCAUUCUGCUGUGUCUGUUAAAUGUGGGGUUUUUGCUGAAACAGUC